UACAGGUUGCAUGUGUGUUUGCUUCUUUA
rnacentral:piRNA from 1 species